rnacentral:rRNA from 1 species
AACGUAGGACGCGAAGCGUUAUCCGGAGUUACUGGGCGUAAAGCGCGGGCAGGCGGUCGGUCAAGUCUGAUGUGAAAUCUCUCCGCUCAACGGGGAGCAGCCAUUGGAAACUGGUCGACUGGAGUCUGGCAGAGGUAGGCGGAAUUCCGGGUGGAGUGGUGAAAUGCGUAGAGAUCCGGAGGAACACCAGAGGCGAAGGCGGCCUACUGGGCCAGUACUGACGCUGAGCCGCGAAAGCCAGGGAGCGA